rnacentral:snRNA from 1 species
AAAAGUGGACAAAUCUGGCUAUAAUGUGUUACCCCACUGACCACCAGAAUCGAUUCAGCUGAUUUGACUGGUAAGCCAGUGUCCUCUUUCUCCCCCUCUGUUUCAUGCAUGUUCCUUCCAAAACUGCACACUUCAUCAAAGAAGACAAUUUUUCCCAAUACAGGAGGAAAAUUCUUUGGUCAAGAAUAUAGGAGUAGUUGCAGUCCCUUCUAGAACCUUACAACAAGCUUACAGUAGAUAUUAUGAGAAAAUAUUAUAUAUAUGG